CCGAACUGUCGACACGAGUUGCUGCUGGCCCUCAAAAGGGGCACGUGCACGCUCUGUUUACACAUCCACUCACACCUGUGCACCCUCUGUAGUUCUAUGGCCUUGGGGACUCUGUCCCCUUGCCGUGGUCCUACGUCUUUACACACACACCGUAACGAAGUCUCAUGGAAUGUAUGUCGCGUCUAACGCAAUACAAUA
rnacentral:misc_RNA from 1 species